rnacentral:rRNA from 1 species
CUACGGGGUGCUGCAGUGGGGAAUAUUGGACAAUGGGGGAAACCCUGAUCCAGCCAUGCCGCGUGUGUGAAGAAGGCCCGAGGGUUGUAAAGCACUUUCAGUUGGGAAGAAGGGUAGUUAGCUAAUACCUAGCUAUCUUGACAUUACCUUCAGAAGAAGCACCGGCUAACUCUGUGCCAGCAGCCGCGGUAAUACAGAGGGUGCAAGCGUUAUUCGGAAUUACUGGGCGUAAAGCGCGCGUAGGCGGAUUGUUAAGUCAGUUGUGAAAGCCCUGGGCUCAACCUAGGAAUUGCAUCUGAUACUGGCAGUCUAGAGUUUAAGAGAGGGAAGGGGAAUUCCAGGUGUAGCAGUGAAAUGCGUAGAUAUCUGGAGGAACAUCAGUGGCGAAGGCGCCUUCCUGGCUUAAAACUGACGCUGAGGUGCGAAAGCGUGGGUAGCGAACGGGAUUAGAUACCCCAGUAGUC